CCUACGGGAGGCAGCAGUGGGGAAUAUUGGGCAAUGGGCGCAAGCCUGACCCAGCAACGCCGCGUGAAGGAAGAAGGCUUUCGGGUUGUAAACUUCUUUUAUCAGGGACGAAGCAAGUGACGGUACCUGAUGAAUAAGCCACAGCUAACUACGUGCCAGCGGCCGCCGUAAUACGUAGGUGGCAAGCGUUAUCCGGAUUUACUGGGUGUAAAGGGCGUGUAGGCGGGAAAGCAAGUCAGAUGUGAAAACCAUGGGCUCGACCUGUGGCCUGCAUUUGAAACUGUUUGUCUUGAGUAAUGGAGAGGCAGACGGAAUGCGUAGUGUAGCGGUGAAAUGCGUAGAUAUUAGGAGGAACACCAGUGGCGAAGGCGGUCUGCUGGACAGCAACUGACGCUGAGGCGCGAAAGCGUGGGGAGCAAACAGGAUUAGAUACCCCGGUAGUC
rnacentral:rRNA from 1 species